GAUGAACGCUGGCGGCGUGCCUAAUACAUGCAAGUCGAGCGAAAAGACGCGGAGCUUGCUGGUCUGACGUUAGGGGCGGACGUGUGAGUAACGCGUGGAUAACCUACCUAUCAGAGUGGGAUAACUUCGAGAAACCGGCGAUAAUACCGGAUAAUAUAUUGAACCGCGUGGUUCAAUGGUGAGAUACGGUUUUGCUGUCACUUCUAGCUGGAUCUGCGCCGCAUUAGCUAGUCGGUACGGUAACAGCUUACCAAGGCAACGAUGCGUGGCCGACCUGAGAGGCUGAUCGGCCGCCCUGGAGCUUAGCCACGGUCCAGACUCCUACGGGAGGCAGCAGUAGGGAACGUUCCGCAAUGGGCGGAAGCCUGACGGAGCAGGGCCGCGUGAGUGGUGAAGGUCUUCGGAUCGUAAUGCUCUGUUAUUAGGUAAGAACAAAUUUGGACGUAACUAUGCCCGUCGUGACGGUACCUAGUCAGAAAGCCCCGGCUAACUACGUG
rnacentral:rRNA from 1 species